UGGUCUACCAGAGAGGGCACAUGUGCCUCAAUUGGCCUAUAGCAUAGCGACUCAUUAUCCUUCCACCGCUGGUGGCGGGCGGUACUCGCUGCUCUGUGAAGCCAGCCUCACACAAUGUCCGCCACUUUAGGUGUUGGGAUGCAAAGGCUUUCGCCAAGGCAUCCGAAACCCACUACACAACUUGGAAUGGGUGGUCCACUGUUUGUAGCACUAGACCCAGGCACAUGCACCACAAUUGACAUCCACACUACCUUAUUGCCCCGCUCGGGUUACAAGCAAUCGCUACUUGCUCAGCGAGUGAGGGGGUUCAAGACUACCUAUUUAAGGUGGUGUUGUACUCUAUGAGCCGGCGGUGUGGUAUUUACCAACUACAAAUAGUGUCAUGCAUGUGACUUGCUAGUUGACAAUGUCUGUUGUCAAGCUAGGUGUGGGCUAUGGAUGAAGCACAUUAGGAUAUAGUAGGCCUAUUUUGUUUUUUGUUGUUUUUGGGCCACUAUGGACUUUAUGUUGAUGUUGUGAAAUUUUUUUCUUGUGUUUCCUCUUCCUACGAUGUGGAAAGUGGGUGCGUCAGAGAAGAAAGAAAGAGUGGCUAGCAUUGAUUUUACGUCAUACCAUUGAGAACACUAAUCAGAAGCAGAAGCAACAAUAUUUCAUACAUAUACAACACUUGUAAUCCAUAUAAACAACAUUCCUUUAAAAUAUAAUAUAAACCACAUGAUUUAUAUCCUGGGUCGGCUAUCUCCACAAAGGGCAAGAAAACGCUCCAAGUUUGUAGUAUAGCACUAAAAGUGUCGAUUCUCACGAUUUCUUCCCGACAUAUACAAACUAGACAGUAAUCACAUAAAAUAAAGAAAUAUGUGUUAACACAAACUUAUAGCAUGUAUUUCAACAUAUAGAUUGUUGAUUAUUAUGGUAGAUUAUAUAAAAUAGGGGUUCCCGAAGAAAUACAUAAAAACAAGAGCAUUAAAAUUUCCUUUUCAGAUCUGGCUAUCUGGUAAAAGGAGUUGGAGUAACUGAGUUUCCAAAUUUGUGACGUAGCUCUAUAGAAGGAAUAUAAAUACGUUGGAAAAAUUCUAUAAGGAAAGGUUUAAUACAAGUAGGGCUAAGAAAAACUCAAUGAGGCUUUGGUCGCAUGGUCACAAAACUUGAGACAAGAAACACGAAGACACCAAGGUAAUUAGUAUGAGAGUUUUCCAAAUUUGGUGUCUUGAUGUAGAAAAAAUAAAUAUAUGACAAAUUUGUUUUUUCGCAAGGCAUGGAUAAAUAGGUGGGGGUGAGCAAUAAAUUUCAUCCUAGAUUUAGAAGGAAUAAAUAUAUCACUAAAUAUGUUUUUUCACAAUGCCAAGUUAAUCAGGUGGGAGCGAGAAACAAUUCUAGCGAGGCUAGGUUGUACUAGCCCAAAACUACAUACAACAGAGGAAAAAUGAAGAAAAUGAUGGUCUACCAAAUAUGGCGCAUGAGCCUUAAGGUGCACCUAGAGGGAAGUAGAAGAAAUAAAUAUAUAAUAGCAUAUAUUUUUCGCAAUGCAUGGUAAAGUGUAGAUGUGCUCUAACUGGGCUUAGAUUGCAGCGACACAUUAUGCAUCUACAAGGCUUGGUUGCACAUGGAAAAAGAUACAGAAAGAAAUGUAGACGCAGGACCGGGAGAAAAACAUUCAAUGAGACGUGAUUGCACAGACAUAGAACUAGAUAUAAGACAAGAGUUAAAGAAAAAUAAAGGAACUAAAUUUUCUUCUGCACACUAAGCAUGAAUGGAGUUGUAGUAUCUGAGAUCAAAAUUUAAUUUAUUCCAAGAUGCAGAACAAAAAUGUGAUACUCGUAAUGGUUACAUAGGAACAAAAGUAGUUAAGAAAAAUAGCAAAAAGAUAGUGGUCUACCAGAGAGGGCACAUGUGCCUCAAUUGGCCUAUAGCAUAGCGACUCAUUAUCCUUCCACCGCUGGUGGCGGGCGGUACUCGCUGCUCUGUGAAGCCAGCCUCACGCAAUGUCCGCCACUUUAGGUGUUGGGAUGCAAAGGCUUUCGCCAAGGCAUCCGAAACCCACUACACAACUUGGAAUGGGUGGUCCACAGUUUGUAGCACUAGACCCAGGCACAUGCACCACAAUUGACAUCCACACUACCUU
rnacentral:lncRNA from 1 species